AUGGCAAAAGCACUCAUGACCGCCCCUCUGCACGGGAGACCAGGCUGGUGCUUCAGGCACAAAUAUUCAGGCAAGCCAAGCCCUAGUCAACAUGAUCGUUUAAUCUAUGAAGUAGACAAGGAGUUUGUCUCAGAGCCUAUUUUGUUUGCAGAGGAGUAUUUUAGUAUAGUAUUACACAGAUCUCAGCACUAUUCCAUUAAACCUAGAAAUCCAGGACAAAGAUCUACAUCAUCCACCAAGAGUGGAAAAUUUAUGAACCCCACAGACAUGCCCAAAAGGAAGUCGGAAGAGAUAAUUAAAGAACAAAAACCAAUGCAUGAUGGUGCGAGCAGCGGCUCUGAAGGUGAAGGUUCCUGAGCAGGUUAUCCAGGGCAAUUGGAUGAAAUGGAGUUUAACCCACUGCAACAGCCACUGUUAAAUGAGAAAGUUCUGAAAGACAAGUGUAAAAAGCUGUGUGAACCCUUUGAAUGUAUUCUCCGACCUUAUGAAAAAGAGAAUCCAGCGAUUUAUAAAGAAUUGAGAAAACUAGAAGUGAACAGAAACAAAAAAGGGAUCAGCUUAGCCAGUAUUUUGAUGCUGUUAAGAACGCAUGUGGACAUGGAGAGUAUUCCCUUGCCAGAUAUACCACAUGCUCCUUCCAACAUCUUGAUCCAGGACAUUACACUUCCUGGUGUCCAGCCAUCCUCCAUUCUUAAGAAAACUUCAGCCUAUAGACCUCCACCCAAGGCAGUUUCUAUAAUUCAUCUUCUUGGACAUGGUGUUCCACAUUUGUCCCCCUGACAGAAAACCUCCUGGCCCUCCCUCUGGUCCGUUGCCACUCCAGGUCUUGCAGAUGUAUGGCUGCAAAGUGGACUUUGCCCUGUAUCUUCCCCCUUGUAGGCGGGAUCUUCAUCAUGCUGUAUAGUCCUGAACUUGUUCAGCGAGGUCAUGAUAAGGAUGUUCCCAGCACGAGUGAAGAUUAUGGCUAUCCUGAGGGCAUGGAUCAGGAUAAACAUGAUGACAGCACCAAUGGUAGUGACACUGACAGAUCAGAUGGAGAAAGUGAUGGGGAUGAAUUCGUGCAUUGUGGUGACAGUGAAUGAGACAACAAUGAAGAAAACAAAUCAGGUCUGAGUGUAGGAUUUGCUGAUAUGCCUGGAAAAUCGAGGAAGAAAGAGAAGAACAUGAAAGAGUUGAUCCCUCUUAAAGCCAUGAUGCUCCGAAUGGCAGGUCAGAAACUCCCUGAGGAGGGAAGAGAAGUAGAGGAAUUUUCCGAGGAUGAUGAUGAAGAUGAUUCUGCAGCAGAAAAGCAAUCACACAAACAACGUAAAGAAGAUUCCCAUUCUGAUGGUACAUCUGCAUCCUCAAAGCAGCAGACUCCUCCUCCCCAAUCUGUUCCUUCCUCUCAGACUCAAGCACCUCCCAUGCCAGGACCCCCUCCUACUGACCCGCCACCUGCUCUGCCUUUACCGCCUCCUGGAACACCUACCAGUCUUGCUCCUGCUCCAACACCAAGGGCUCAUCCAUUCUUGGGACAACCUGGAAUGCCAGGACUCUGAGGGCCUUUAUUUCCAAUGUUUACUUCCAGGUUCCCCACCAGGCCCCCCUGCUGGCUCUCUCCAAAGUCUGACCCCAGGUCUUCUUGCUGGCCCUCUGCCUCAGGGACCCCCACCAAGGAUACCUCCUCCUGUACCUCCAGGGAUCCCUCCACCUUGUCCUAGAAUGAUGCACCCACCUCUGGUGCCUCCACUCGGACCUGCCCCACCUGGGCUUUUCCUACCAGCUUCCUUGCCCAACCCAGAGAUUUUGAGCAUCUGCACAGUUUGAUUCUGCAACCCAAGGUGGAUGAUACAAGCGAAACCACCAUUGAGAAGAAAGCCACAGCAAGCGUUAGUGCCAAGCCACAAAUCACUAACCCUAAGGCAGAGAAUACUCGAUUUGUGCUCACUGCAUUGAAAGUGUGUCAGGAGAAUAAAUGGGCUUCUGCAUGCCAACAAAGUCAGGGGAGGGUUCUACUGUGCCUCUUGCCAAAGCAGCUCCCAAGUCUGGUCCUGCUGCUUCUUUGUCCAUAAAAACCAAGGAUGAUGUGUAUGAGGCUUUAAUGAAAGAGAUGGAAGGACUGCUGUGA